rnacentral:rRNA from 1 species
GACGAACGCUGGCGGCGUGCUUAACACAUGCAAGUCGAACGAAGAGCGAUGGAAGCUUGCUUCUAUCAAUCUUAGUGGCGAACGGGUGAGUAACGCGUAAUCAACCUGCCCUUCAGAGGGGGACAACAGUUGGAAACGACUGCUAAUACCGCAUACGAUCUAAUCUCGGCAUCGAGGAAAGAUGAAAGGUGGCCUCUAUUUAUAAGCUAUCACUGAAGGAGGGGAUUGCGUCUGAUUAGCUAGUUGGAGGGGUAACGGCCCACCAAGGCGAUGAUCAGUAGCCGGUCUGAGAGGAUGAACGGCCACAUUGGGACUGAGACACGGCCCAGACUCCUACGGGAGGCAGCAGUGGGGAAUCUUCCGCAAUGGACGAAAGUCUGACGGAGCAACGCCGCGUGAGUGAUGACGGCCUUCGGGUUGUAAAGNUCUGUUAAUCGGGACGAAAGGCCUUCUUGCGAACAGUAGAAGGAUGACG